UACGUAGGGUGCGAGCGUUGUCCGGAAUUAUUGGGCGUAAAGAGCUUGUAGGCGGUUUGUCGCGUCUGCCGUGAAAAUUUCGAGGCUCAACCUCGAACUUGCGGUGGGUACGGGCAGACUAGAGUGUGGUAGGGGAGACUGGAAUUCCUGGUGUAGCGGUGAAAUGCGCAGAUAUCAGGAGGAACACCGAUGGCGAAGGCAGGUCUCUGGGCCACUACUGACGCUGAGAAGCGAAAGCAUGGGGAGCGAACAGG
rnacentral:rRNA from 1 species